GACCCUUCAGUCUUUAAUGAACAUUUCAAGCUCUUUGUGAAAAAAGAUCAUCGUGCCUUCAAAAGAGUGAUACUGUCUAAAGGCAUCAAAUUUGAGAUCCUUCACAAGGAGGGCCUGUUCAAGACUGAUAAAGUGGUUGGUAGUGGACAGCUGAAGCUGGACUCCUUAGACACCCAAUGUGAAAUUCGACAACUGAUUGAGGUCAUGAACAGGAGGAAAGCCACAGGAGGCCACGUGGAGGUGCAGGUGAGGGUGCGGGAGCCUCUCGGGGGACCACAGCCCCACACGGUGUCCCAAUGUUGGCUGGUCCUGGACUCCCUCCCCAUCCCUUGGGCUUUGCCUCCCAAAUCCAGGCCCCAGGAGGAUAACACAAGAAAAGCCAGUGGCAGCAGGUCAUCAGCGUGUCUCCUACUCUGAGCAGGGCAGCUUCAGUGAGCCCUCCCCUGGCCUGAAUGAGUCACCUGAUCAGCACUUGCCAGGGAACAAGAGCUAAUCCAGCAGCCAAUCCACCAGUCGUGUUACUCGUCAUGCCGCUAUACCGAAGUAAAACUCUCUGACGUUAUUGCAGCCCUUGCUGGUUAAUGACAGAUCACGGACCAUGGACAUUAGGCUACCUGACCUAAAUAAACUCUCCAAAUGUCAAAUCA
rnacentral:lncRNA from 1 species